GAGGAAUUUUUCACAAUGGACGAAAGUCUGAUGGAGCAAUACCACGUGAACGAUGAAGGUCUUCUGAUUGUAAAGUUCUUUUAUUUAGGAAAAAAAGCGCGCUAGGAAAUGAGCGCGCCUUGAUGGUACUAAUUGAAUAAGUGACAGCUAACUAUGUGCCAGCAGCUGCGGUAAAACAUAGGUCACGAGCAUUAUCCGGAUUUAUUGGGCGUAAAGGAAGCGUAGGCGGGGAGGUUGAUCCAUUGUUAAAAGCAUUUGCUUAACAAAUGUGUGCAUUGGAGAUCGCCUCCCUAGAGUUAAUCAGGGGGUACUGGAAUUCAAUGUGUAGCGGUGGAAUGCGUAGAUAUAUUGAGGAACACCAGAGGCUAAGGCGAGUACCUAGGAUAUAACUGACGCUGAGGCUUGAAAGCGUGGGGAGCAAAUG
rnacentral:rRNA from 1 species